rnacentral:rRNA from 1 species
CCCACGGGAGGCAGCAGUGAGGAAUAUUGGUCAAUGGGCGCGAGCCUGAACCAGCCAAGUAGCGUGAAGGAUGACUGCCCUACGGGUUGUAAACUUCUUUUAUAAAGGAAUAAAGUGAGGCACGUGUGCCUUUUUGUAUGUACUUUAUGAAUAAGGAUCGGCUAACUCCGUGCCAGCAGCCGCGGUAAUACGGAGGAUCCGAGCGUUAUCCGGAUUUAUUGGGUUUAAAGGGUGCGCAGGCGGAGGUGCAAGUCAGCGGUCAAAUUGCGGGGCUCAACCCCGGCGAGCCGUUGAAACUGGCGGGCUGGAGUUGGAGAGAAGUACGCGGAAUGCGCGGUGUAGCGGUGAAAUGCUUAGAUAUCGCGCAGAACCCCGAUUGCGAAGGCAGCGUACCGGCUCCACACUGACGCUGAGGCACGAAAGCGUGGGUAUCGAACAGGAUUAGAUACCCCUGUAGUC